rnacentral:rRNA from 1 species
CAAUAGCGUAUAUUAAAGUUGUUGCAGUUAAAAAGCUCGUAGUUGGAUUUCGGGGCAGCCUGGCUGGUCCGCCGCAAGGCGAGUACUGGUCAGCCGCCCUUCCUCUCGAAAGCCCCGACUGCUCUUUAUUGCAGUGGUCGGGUAGUUCGGGACGUUUACUUUGAAAAAAUUAGAGUGUUCAAGGCAGGCCUACGCCUGAAUACAUUAGCAUGGAAUAAUGGAAGAGGACCCCGGUCCUAUUUUGUUGGUUUCCAGGACCGAAGUAAUGAUUAAGAGGGACAGUUGGGGGCAUUCGUAUUUAAUUGUCAGAGGUGAAAUUCUCGGAUUUAUGAAAGACGAACAACUGCGAAAGCAUUUGCCAAGGAUGUUUUCAUUAA